rnacentral:rRNA from 1 species
AAAAACAUAGCUCUUUGAAUAUUUAAAGGGUCCCGCCUGCCCAGUGGCUUAAAGCUAAACGGCCGCGGUAUCUUGACCGUGCAAAGGUAGCAUAAUCACUUGUCUUUUAAAUGGAGACUUGUAUGAACGGCGAAACCUUUUUCAACUGUCUCUCCUCCCACCCUUCAAAAUUUCUUUCCGUGUGAAGAAGCACAGAUAUACCAGAAAGACGAGAAGACCCUGUCGAGCUUUAACCAUUAAGUGAACACUCCUAUUUACUUAGAUAUCACCUAAAGGUUUUGGUUGGGGCAACCGUGGAGAAAAAAAAUCCUCCAGGAUAAAUAGAAGAAAACCCUUCACUAAUUAUCAACACUUUAAGAACCAGGAACUGGUAUUCGGAAAAAGUUACCGCAGGGAUAACAGCGUUAUCUCCUCUGAGAGUCCUUAUUGACGAGGAGGCUUGCGACCUCGAUGUUGGAUUGGGGCCCCCUUAGGGUGCAGAAGCUCUAAACGGUUAGACUGUUCGUCUAUUAAAGCCCUACGUGAUCUGAGUU